rnacentral:lncRNA from 1 species
AUGUUAGCAAGUCUGUUUCAUAUUUUAGUCAAAUAUACCUUUGUCGCACUGCCUGAAUGGAUUCAGAUGACAGUGACAAACUCAGUUCUGUUCUAUUUAACAUGCACCCGCUGCAAUCAAAUUAACAAUGUACAAAUCUUCAUCGGGCUUCUCCAGAUUUACUGUCAGAAGAGUCUGUUGAGCGCCUCAGCAUUGCGGGCGAGUGAGCUGGCUGCAAGUUGUCUGGGCUCCAGGACUGCGACCCCUUUCUGUGUCAGUUGGGAGCCAGAGGAAGGAGGCAUCCCCAGAGGAGCAAGUUACUCUUGGGCUCAAUCCUGUAAAGUCCUGAGCUCCCCAGCGCAGCUGCGGGCGCUUCGCACACCUCCCCACCGUGCCCACCGCCGGGGAGCCUUCAGCUGGCUUUCACCCUCCCAGCUCUUCCUCGCGGAGUGUCACUCGCACCUUCCGUCUCUCCGGGAACUCUUCAUAGUGGUUUCCCUACGCCGAGUCCUCUGAGGCCCCCAGCGCCAGGAGGCUCUCCCCAGCAACCCGACGGGAUUGCUUCGGUGGGCGGCCGCUCCGCAACUGGCGUUUUCUUAAGUUUGCUUCAAAACUGGUUUCAAAGCAUGUCGAGUCUCACUUUAGGGAAGCUUCAUUUCUUCCUGCUAGGUGCCCGUUGUCCCUGGCCGUGUGAGCUCCUGCCGCCAGGCCUCCGCGGGGGCCCCGCGGGCUCGGCCGGCGUCGGCCUUGCUCCGUCGUCCCCGGGCGCUUCCCGGCCCCCGAGCUUCCCUACGGGAUACUCCAACCGGGAAGAGUGCUGGAAGGGAAGGGAGGAAGGAGAAGCGUUUCCAUGCUGCAGUCUCAGAGUCCUGCUUUCCGCCCUCGGAUUAUAAUAAAUGGCUGCUGAGUUACUUGACA